UGGGCUUGACAUGCACUAGAAAGCCGUAUCUCUACGGCUUUCUAGUGCAUGUCAAGCCCAGGUAAGGUUCUUCGCGUUGCAUCGAAUUAAUCCACAUGCUCCGCCGCUUGUGCGGGCCCCCGUCAAUUCCUUUGAGUUUUAGCCUUGCGGCCGUACUCCCCAGGCGGGGCGCUUAAUGCGUUAGCUACGGCACGGACAACGUGGAUGUCGCCCACACCUAGCGCCCAACGUUUACAGCGUGGACUAC
rnacentral:misc_RNA from 1 species